GGAUUGAUGAAGAGAACAACUGUCUGAAGAUUCUGAGGGACUCAGUCUAAUGGUAAUCUGAGGUCC